GCCGGGCGCGGUGGCGGGCGCCUGUAAUCCCAGCUACUCGGGAGGCUGAGGCAGGAGAAUCGCUUGAACCUGGGAGGCGGAGGUUGCAGUGAGCAGAGAUCACACCAUUGCACUCUAGCCUGGGUGACAAAGCAAGACUCUGUCUCAA
rnacentral:SRP_RNA from 2 species